AGGAGCCACUAUGACACCAUUCAGCCUCCUGAUCCUGAGACCAGUGCCAGAGAGAGAGAGAGAAGAAAACCGAUUACGUCACCACCUCCACCAGCAUGGGUUAAUUCCUAAACAUCAGCUGAGAUAUCAGACUUUGGUUCCUGCUAGUACUCCCUCCCUCAUGUGUACUUUUUCUUCCCCUGCUUUAUUUCCCCUCUUUCCUAUCCAUCUCUUUUUUGCCUUCUGUUUAAUAAGAGCCUGGCUUAGCUGGUCAAGAGUGUUUCUUUCAGAAGUGCUGUGAGCCCCGUGAUCAAUGAAGCAGCUAACAGGAAUGCUGUGACACUGAUACAAGUUUGCCAGGUCUCGGGGUGGCUGAUUGGACUGUGCCUGUGUUUCUGCAGCAGCACGGUUGAAAGUAAGAAUCAGCACCAAAGUCAGAAGCUGCAUUUUCUAUCUUUUCUCCCCCCUUGUGUAUGUGUGUGUCUUGUCUAGUCUUAAAGGAUGCAGGAUUGGACUUUAACAGCAGCAGCAGCAGCUCCCACCCCUUUUAAUUAACUUGUUCUCUUUUCCUCAAAAAGGAUAUUACCAUCUUAAAUACCAUCUAAAAGAUUGUCAAACGGGCGUUUCCCUUAUUAAAAAAAACUCUCAAGAAAAAAAAAAGUGAUAAGUUAAAAUGAAAGCCUUACUUCAUACUGUACAUUUACAAUGCUUGAACUGUCUUUCCUUCUUUGUUUGUAUCUUUAAUCAAAGGUUAUGAAGAUUUUUAAUGGAGCAUAUUCAAUGGGACUAAGCAGGCUGAGGUCUCUGUGCUGGAACCCUCAAACCUAGUUUAACAGUUUAGUGUUGUACAGUGGCAGGGUCACGUUAGCACCCACUUUCUCCAUCAAAAUUAACAUAACAGGGCCCUGCAAGCAGGCGGGAAUCAUAAUUCUGACUUGAGAAACUAUAAAAUUGUUUGCUGACAGUUCUUCUUAAUAAACGGCAGGCCUGUUUGUAUCUUAUUGCCAGGUGCAGAUUAUUCACUUAUUAUUCACCAGUGCUGCUUGUCACGAUGACUUGCAUUCUUUGACUUGUUUACUUUCAGUUUAUAACUUUCUCUAGCCCCCAAGAAUGAACAGCUUCACAGUAAAUGGGCUAUAAAUGGUAAUUUUGCAAAGACCGCUUAGCAAAUCAAUUUCCAGAUUUCUAUUUCUGAGACAAAGGUUAAAGGGUGACAGAAGCAGCUUCUUCUGGAUGACCAGGACUGCUAGAAGAGUGAAAAGCAACUAACUGGUGGCCUAACUAAGAGGUGGAAGAAUCUUUAGGCAGAUGGAUGCCUUGCACCCCUUCACAUUCAUUCUUAGGUGAGCCAUGGCCACUGCCUUCUCAUUCCCAUAAUACUGAACCUAGCCACAGCAGCCAUUGGAGGUGGCUGUUACUCCCCUGCUUAGGAAGGACAGUGAUGCCCUCUUGGUCCAGCCUCUUCAACCUAAGCAUGGGGAUGGGGGAAUAACUUUCACCCAACAGGGUAGCAGCACCCAUCUUUUAUGGCUUGUCAAAUCCUCAGUUCAAUAGUGCAGCAACACAGAGGCAGAAGCUCUCUCAAGAAUCCCCACACAGAAGAAGGGAAGUUGGGUGGUGAUACCCAGCUAAAGGAUUGCUCUGUCCUAUUCAAAUCUCCAGACAGUUGCUCACUUUGAAGAAGUGGAGGAACAUGAGAGCACUGACAAGCUGCGCUAUUCCUCAGCACAGAUAGGAAGGGUGUUAUCCCCGAGUAGCAUUGCCACCAUCAAGAGGAACAGGGAGGCGGAAGCACACUUCACUACCAGUGAUUAAAAAUAAGUUCUGUUAUCUUGUUCCAAAAAUUUACCACACACUGGAUAGUAUGUUGAAGAAUGUAUUUAUUUUUUUCAAAAAUUUACCUUCAUCAGUAAUAGCCAAGGGCAGAUUAAGGCAGGAUUCUUGACCCCUGCAAUUUGGACCCAGUGGCCUGAACACUGCUGUGAAAAACCCAAAAUGAGGGGAGUGGUCUAAUAAUUAAGCACACAAGUAUGCCACCCACUUACACCAAAGAGUAAUUUGCCCCAGCUCACAGAUUGACUUUGUGACAGCAGGCUGGUCACAAACUUUCUCCUUUAGUGCUCCUGUCUGUAGGAUGGGCUGUUUUCCUACCUACUUACCAACAGCAUUGUAAGGAUUACUUUAUAAAAGCACUGUGGAAUCAAAAAGCCACAAUAUAAGUGCAAAUUACACUCAAAAAGUUAGUUAAAAGUACAUUAUUAAGGUUGCAAAGUCAAGCAUUCAAAAUUUUGGAAAUGCCAGAAUUGUUUGCCUGGGCAACCUUAAUUCAGUCUCCUUGUGCAUGUGCAUUAUUAUACAGUCUUUAAUUACAUGAUCACAUACUGUUUUUUCCUACAGGAUCCCUGCCUCAUUCAGUGCACGAGUGAUGAAUUUAUGAGCAACUAUUUAUCAUUCAAUGUGUGACCACAGGCCUCAUUUACUGCCCACUAUUCAAAUCCUGCUCUGAAUACAGAAUUAUUAAUGUCUUCGUGGACUUCUCUACAGCACUCAUCAUUAUAGUUACAAAUGCUUCAUAAACACUAAAGAAUAUAUUUCCACACCACACCUCUGAGAUGACAAGGAAUUAUUAUCCCCAUUUUACAGAUAAGGAACUUGAUUCACAGAGACGUUAAGGUAAUCAAUAUCCCCUAAUUUUGGGUGCCCAAUUUGAGACACCUAGGACCUGAUUGUUCAAAGCACAGUUUUCAUGGACUUAAGUUGCAGCAGUGAGUGCUCAGCACUUUUUAAAAUCAAGACUCAGGUUGUGAAGUCAGAAAAUGAUGAACACACAAUUAGUGAUCACCUGCAAAAAGUCUGGCUUACAUGACUUGCCCAGCAUCACAUAGGAACUCUGUGGCAAAGGCAAGGAUACAAUCCAGUUCUCCAGGGCAACAUUUAACUGUCUCGAUGAUAAGACCCUCCUUUCUCAUCCUGCUAUCCCCUGUCUCAUUCACUACACACCUUCUACUCUGGACGCCUUUGAGGAACAGAGGGCGCUGUCUGGGGUUCUCUGCUUUGUGUUCCCUCUGGCUCUCUCAUUUUAAUCUUUGACCUCACUCUGAAUCCUGUUUCUUUCAGUCGUUGUCCGCAGAAAUCAGCUGUAGCCCAGGCCUUUAGUUUUGGGCAGGCCUAUACCAGCUUGCCCUAGUACUACAAAUAGUAUGCAUCUUCUACUUCCUCAACAUCCUAUAGAUCACAGCCUCCUUUAACAUGCAACCCUGAUUCAUCCCCAUAGCAGGUCUUUCCUGUGAACUGAAUGAGGUCAGGGUCCUGUGGAAAAAAAUAGUAUUCGAUCAUAUAAUUAAAGACUGCAUACUAAUGCAUAUGCACAAGGGGGGCAAAUUAAAAUUACAAAGGCAACCUUAAUUCUGGCAUUUCCUAACUUUUGAGUGCUUGACUUUGCAACCGCAAUAAUGUCUUUUAAUGUAUUCUUUUGUGCACAAUUUAAAACAGCAAACUGGAAAAUGAAAUUUCAUCAGGCGGCAUCAUACUGACACCCACAUUGUUCAUCAAUAGGGUUAGAAUCUGUAGAUCCACUGCAUAGACCUCUCUGCUCUAAUGAGUAGACUAUUCUGCCCAUUUCCCCCAAGUUUAUCCUCUUCUGUCCUAUACCCUCCAACCUUUCAUAGUCCUGUUUCUACCUCCCCCCAGCUCCUUGUCCCAGUCCUGUUUUCUUUGCCCACCCAUUCCCACUCUCCAUUCAGGCUUUUUAUCCCAGUUUCAGCCUCCUUGCACAGCCAGUCCUAGAUCCAUCCCCACCUUGCCUAGUCAGUCUCAGUUCUCCUUUCCUGGCUCCUCAUCCAGUUUGUAUCUUUCCUCCUCACGACCAAUGGUCCCAGUCCUAGUCUCCUUCCCCAGACCACUCAUCCUGUCUACCCACUCUCUUUGUCCAGCCAGGCCAAGGUUUCCCCUCACAACCUAGCUCCUUGUCAGUUUUGUCUCCCCUUUCCCAAUUCCCCCACACCCUUGUUCUCCUGGUCCAGCCAGUCCGUUUUCCACCCAGCACAUCAUCCAAUCUUGUUGCUCCGCACCCACCCCAAGCCAGCCAACUGGCUCCCAGUCCCCAGCUGUCUCCCUCAGUGGCUCCCAGUGUCCUUGUUCAGCUAGUACCAGUAUUCUCAUACCUUCCAAGCCUCCUUACUCAACCUCAACCAGUUCCCUACACCCAGCCCCUAGUCUCAACCUCUCUUCCAACCAGUUCUAAUCUCCCCUCCACUCCACAGCUCCCAAUCCAAGUGGAGUCAGUUGGUCAGUGAGGAUGGAAUCUUUGGAGAUUUUUGCUCUUAAGCAAUUCUGCACGGAGCAUGUGCAAAUUGUGAUUUUUUUUCAAAACCUUCUAACUUGGUCAAAUUUGGGCAGAUUUUUAAUAGGGCUGUCCAAAAGCACAUCAGUAUCACAAAGGCCACCCCUUGCCAAAUUUCCAGUCUCUGUUCCAAAGUAUGGAGGCAGUGGAGUUUUUCUAAGAAAAGGUUGCAAAAAAUUUUUUAAAAGGGCAAAAUGUGAUUUUCUCUAACCUCAUUCUCUGAAAUAGCUGAACAGUUUUUGCUGAAAUUAAACAAAAAAAGUGCAGCCUGAGGCAGACACCUCUAAUGGAACAUUUCAGCCCAAAUGGUUGAACUUUGGCAAAAGUUAUAAGUAACUGAAAACAGGGGGCUUAUAAUGGGAACUGUUGGGCAACCUGGAUUAUAGCCAGUGCGCUAGGAGUUUAGAAUUGAUGGAGCCCACUUUCUCCACCACAGUUUCUUUAAAUUACAUGAUCUACUUGGGUAGCUGAAUGAACACAAUCACAACAGUGAUAUUUCUACACAUGGUUGGAAUAUUCACAGUAGGACAAUAAAAACUCUUAUAGUAGCAGUUUGUCUAGAUGCCAAGCUCUCAAAAGAAGCUCUCCAGUAAGAACAGUUGAUUAUCCUAUGACUACAAGGGUACAUGUGUAGGUCAAAAAUUUGUGUCAGUGGUAGGACUCCUGGGACUGCCAAAAAGUCCAUACCUUCCACACCAGUAGUUCUCUUCCAGGUCACAGCCUCUUUGUUGAUACAAGGCAUGUUCAUGCAAGCAUGUUCACUCUGCAAAUUACUAGCACCUGAUUUUUCAACUUGCAUGCUUAAUAUUAGGCAUCUAAAUAAAUUUUUUUUAAAAAGUGUCCUGGUUUCCAGAGGUGUUGAGCACUCUACCAGCUCCAACUGAAGCCAAUAGAAAAUGCAGAUGCAGUGCAUCUCAGGAAAAAAGGCCACUGUUUUUUUCCUAUUGGUACCUAACUUUAGGCACUCAAGUCUGAAUAUUUCAGUCUAAAUAGUCUUCUGGAAAUGUUUUAGUUUACAUUUUUAAAAAUUAAAACAGCAUCUGAGAACAAUUAAUGUAGGAAAAUUGUUUUUAUUAUUUGAAAGCAUCCCCUUAAUAAGUCAUAUUCAUUUCUUGGGUAUUUUCCCAACAUGUCACCAUUUGUAACUAACUCUUCCUUAGCAAUUUACCUUAAAAUAUUACAGAUAAAGUGUCUGCCAUUUAAAAAUCAGCAUUUGCCCAGUUACCUGAAAGGGGUAUCUAGGACACUGCAUCUAUUUUCUAUUCAAAAGAUAUAUGAAAUAUAGAAUAUUUCUCUACCAUGUUGAAGCAAUGGUAUAUGUGUCGGCUUUUAAUAGCUAUUGAAAGUUAAAUGCAACCAAUAAGCUAUCUUAUUGUAACGACUUAUCUGUGUGAUAUGCCUAUGGUUGUGUUGUUUUUUUAAAUUGUUCUAUAUGUUUAAACACUUGCUAUAUAGCUGCUUUAUACCAGCACUGUAAACAUGAAAUAAGAGUAAAUAUAUAUAAUAAACUGGAGUCAACGAAGUAAGAUAUGGCAGUGGAAAA